rnacentral:rRNA from 1 species
GACGAACGCUGGCGGCGUGCCUAAUACAUGCAAGUAGAACGCUGAAGAGAGGAGCUUGCUCUUCUUGGAUGAGUUGCGAACGGGUGAGUAACGCGUAGGUAACCUGCCUUGUAGCGGGGGAUAACUAUUGGAAACGAUAGCUAGUACCGCAUAACAAUGGAUGACACAUGUCAUUUAUUUGAAAGGGGCAAUUGCUCCACUACAAGAUGGACCUGCGUUGUAUUAGCUAGUAGGUGAGGUAACGGCUCACCUAGGCGACGAUACAUAGCCGACCUGAGAGGGUGAUCGGCCACACUGGGACUGAGACACGGCCCAGACUCCUACGGGAGGCAGCAGUAGGGAAUCUUCGGCAAUGGGGGCAACCCUGACCGAGCAACGCCGCGUGAGUGAAGAAGGUUUUCGGAUCGUAAAGCUCUGUUGUAAGUCAAGAACGAGUGUGAGAGUGGAAAGUUCACACUGUGACGAUAGCUUACCAGAAAGGGACGGCUAACUACGUGCCAGCAGCCGCGGUAAUACGUAGGUCCCGAGCGUUGUCCGGAUUUAUUGGGCGUAAAGCGAGCGCAGGCGGUUUGAUAAGUCUGAAGUUAAAGGCUGUGGCUCAACCAUAGUUCGCUUUGGAAACUGUCAAACUUGAGUGCAGAAGGGGAGAGUGGAAUUCCACGUGUAGCGGUGAAAUGCGUAGAUAUAUGGAGGAACACCGGUGGCGAAAGCGGCUCUCUGGUCUGUAACUGACGCUGAGGCUCGAAAGCGUGGGGAGCGAACAGGAUUAGAUACCCUGGUAGUCCACGCCGUAAACGAUGAGUGCUAGGUGUUGGAUCCUUUCCGGGAUUCAGUGCCGCAGCUAACGCAUUAAGCACUCCGCCUGGGGAGUACGACCGCAAGGUUGAAACUCAAAGGAAUUGACGGGGGCCCGCACAAGCGGUGGAGCAUGUGGUUUAAUUCGAAGCAACGCGAAGAACCUUACCAGGUCUUGACAUCCCGAUGCUAUUUCUAGAGAUAGAAAGUUACUUCGGUACAUCGGUGACAGGUGGUGCAUGGUUGUCGUCAGCUCGUGUCGUGAGAUGUUGGGUUAAGUCCCGCAACGAGCGCAACCCCUAUUGUUAGUUGCCAUCAUUCAGUUGGGCACUCUAGCGAGACUGCCGGUAAUAAACCGGAGGAAGGUGGGGAUGACGUCAAAUCAUCAUGCCCCUUAUGACCUGGGCUACACACGUGCUACAAUGGUUGGUACAACGAGUUGCGAGUCGGUGACGGCAAGCUAAUCUCCUAAAGCCAAUCUCAGUUCGGAUUGUAGGCUGCAACUCGCCUACAUGAAGUCGGAAUCGCUAGUAAUCGCGGAUCAGCACGCCGCGGUGAAUACGUUCCCGGGCCU